rnacentral:rRNA from 1 species
UACGGAGGGGCUAGCGUUGUUCGGAAUUACUGGCGUAAAGCGUACGUAGGCGGCUUUGUAAGUUAGAGGUGAAAGCCCAGGGCUUAACCCUGGAAUUGCCUUUAAGACUGCAUCGCUUGAAUCCAGGAGAGGUGAGUGGAAUCCGAGUGUAGAGGUGAAAUUCGUAGAUAUUCGGAAGAACACCAGUGGCGAAGGCGGCUCACUGGACU